GCCUAUGGCAGCUGACUCCCCAGCCUCUGUGCUCUCCCUAUUGUCCAGGAGAGGGCGCCACCACCAGUUCUGACAAGACUGGCUGCUCCGUGGCUUCCCUUUUCACCACCACGCCGCCUGCUAAGUGUCUGGGUGCCCUGGGAUCUGGAGGGGGCACCCAAGAGAGGCUUCUUAAUGUUUUAUCUGCUGCUUAUUCCUGCACAGCAAGUCACUUGACCUGUUUGCGAUUUCUUGCUCUGGUUCUUGAAGAUCGCCUGGAUGUUCUCAGCUGGAACUCUAUGGGAAAGUGAUCGCUCACUGCUAAAGCCUGUGAACUCUGAUGCAGCACAGCGGCUGACUCCAGAGAUGGGAGAUUUACAGCUGCACACACUCUAGUUAUGCAUUGCCACGUACGACGAACCUGCACUUCUGUCAUCGAAAAGGCAUGCUGGAAAUCAAAGAUAUUUGCUGAGUUUGGCAUAAGGGCUUUUAUGAGCUUGUCUCCAUGCAGCACAAUCCUAUGGGAAAGAACAAAGUAUUAGCCAUUUAUGCAGUCACAGAAGAAAUCCAUUACUCUCAAAAAAGAAAAAGGUUAGCGUUUUAGGCUGGGGGAUUAUGUUUGCUGUAUGGUGGCAUCACAACAGUGUCAGAGGCUUGCAGCCAAUGUUUUGGCUAGUAAAUUUCAAACAGCCCGCCCUCAAAUAAUCAGCAGUCUAUGGGAAACUCUUUUUCUUUCUGGAACCUGCCGUCCACCUUAAACCACACCCUGAUAGAUGCCUGUUGGGUUGCCUGUCAUUUCCUCUCCCACCACCUUUUCUCUGUCUCCUGCUUCUCUCUUGCAUGCAUACAGUGAGACAGGCUUACAGCAUGCAUGUGUUUUAGGAAGCAAGUUCCAUGCAAGCCAGUUGUGUCCUGUGUCACUACAUAGGAUCGUAGCCUUGUUUGCCCUUGCCUUUCUGUCUUACCUGACAAAGAACCUCUUUCCUCUGACAGCAGCUACUUUGAGAGCUGCUCCUGCUGCGAGCAAAUGUGCAACAGCUGAGGACCUUCAGAUUGAUGGGGGCAGAGAAGGCAGGGCAGGCCCGUCCAGAGAGCAAGAGGAUGGAGAGGUCAUGACCAGACAGUUCGCUUAUUUAUUUAAAUUGAUAUACUGCCCUUCAUACUAAGACCCCAGGGCAGUUAACAAGAAGAUAAAAACAAUUCAAUAAAAACAGAAAUACAGCUAAAAGUUUAAAAAGCGCGAAGGACAGCUCAAAAGCCUGGAUACAAAGGUCAGUCUUCACUUUCCUCAAGCCACCUAAUGGAGCAGUGGGGAAGCAACUUGCCUAGGGAGCAAGAGGCUGUCAGUUUGAAUCCCUGCUGGUGUGUGGUCACCAGGAAUCGACACAAUAGUCCCUUUCCCUUUUUCACUUUCCUCCUAAAGCUUAGGAGAGAGGGAGCCAUGCGGGUCUCUGGUGAGAGUGAGUUUCACAGCCUGGGGGCAGCCUAGUCGGGGAGGGGAAGCACCAUGCCAACAGGAACAAAGGAAGAAAAAGGAAUGGUGUACUGGCACCUGUUCCUGUUCUCUUGCUUACAGCCUGGAGGUAACCACUGAGAAGGCUCUGACCCACAUGCUUGACAAAUGGGCCUCAGCAGGUGUCGCCACACAGAGCAGAGUCCUCCCAGCGGAUCUAGCCAGGUGAGUAGAUUCAGCUGGGAGCAGACAGUCUCUAAGGUACCCAGGGCCCAAGCCGUUUAGGGCUUUAAAGAUAAUAACGAACACCUUGAAUUGUACCCCAAAACAGACUGGCAGCCAGCGCAGUACCUUCAAGACUGGACUUCAUGGCAGUAAGCCCCAUUGAACUCAACAGAAUUUUUUUUUUUUUUUUUUGCUCUCCCGGUGGCCAUUCGUUCCUCAGACUCCAUCACGGCUUUUAGAAAGCUUUUAAAGACUUGGCUUUUUACCCAGGCUUUUACAUGAUUGUUUUUACUGCGGCUUCUCUGUUUUUAUCUGUUAUCUGUUGUCAUGUUUUUAUGCUUGUUUAUAUGUUUUUAGCUUGAUGUUUUUACUGCUUUUAUUGUAUGUUUUAAUUUUUGUAAACCGCCUUGGGGUUUUCUUUUAACGAAAGGCGGUAUAGAAAUGUAAAAAUAAAUAAAUAAAAAAAACAGGACCUGCUUCCAAGAAAAUAAACACAGAUGUGGACUGCAGUAUAUAAAGCUCCCUUACACUGAGUCAGACAGCUCUAAGUAGUAGCAGCUCUUCAAGGCCUCAAGCAGAU